AAUGUUGAUUUCAGCAUUUUAUUUAUUUAUUUAGGCCUAUUUGUUUUGCAUCUGAGCCACAUAGGAACGGGUCCAGCUCAAAAACUACAACACCUAGACCAGUAUGCCUAACUCCCUUCUCUGGGGGCUGGUAUCCAGCAUGUUUUAGUUGUUUCCCUAAUCUAACACACUUAAUUCACCUGUUCAGCAGCUCAUCAAGCUCUGCAGAGGCCUGUUAAUCACCUGCUGAUUAAAGCAGGAAAAACAGUAAAACAUCCUGGUUACCGUACCAACGGGGAAGGGAGUUGGAGACCACUGACCUGGAGCCUUUGAACCUGACUACAUUGUUGUCAUAGCAGAAACCAUUGUUUGUGAUUUGUGAGACCUUUUUUUUGAUUUGUGGAAAACAGUGUUUUGCUUGAAUUUUACAAUUUUUUUUUUACAAAAUGUACAAAACUGAAACUAUUGUUGCCUGGAUGGGCAGCUCUCUGGGUGCUCAGCACCCCUAAACCUCUGAUGCUAGAAUCGACCCUGGUGAAGCAUAAAAACGUGUUAAAGAGAACAAUCAAAGAGAAUAAGUUUAUGAAAAUAACAGAACAACUAAAAGAACAAAAACCAAACACUGUGUGUUUCACAGUGGCAGCGGACCUGUUAACUGACUUGAAAAGCAGCUAAUUUAUGAGCUGUUAACGUGCUUCCACUACGUCCUUUUAAAUCGGGCACAGAAUAAAAGCAUUGCAGGGAGAGGAACACACUCACUGGACAGCGCAGCAGAGAGAGGACGGGUGCUCCAGCGCUCUCACCACAGCAGCUCUACGCUGAGAAACAGGGCAGGAUACACGACACCCCAUCUAAUCAGAGGCAUCAUGGCUGCUGGGUUGUCAUCAGGAAUUUUGCUGCUUUUGUUGCUUUGCUGUUGGCAUUUUUCCGCAGCCAAAGAAGGAAAAUCUACUAAGAAGGGGAAAAAAGGGAAGCAGGUCGUCUGCCCAUCGUACGUAAGAACGUUGUUUUAUCCAAAUAAACCCAAUUUUUAAGUUAGGUUGUUGUUGACUUUUAAAAAUGCAAUGAGGCAAAAUGAUGAGAGUUCAUACUCCACAUGGCCACAAGGGCAGCAGCCCCUGCAGGUGAGCCUAGACCAUCCUGUCCUCAGUCCCCUCCACAAUAACCAGUGGCAUCCCAGAUGUUCUCAGGCCUGCCUUAACCUCUUUAGCAUUUUGCUGGUUGGACUUGCCUGAAACACCUUCCCUCAGGAGGUGUUCAGGACACCACAACUGGUUCCUCCUCAACCAUUGCCUUGGUAUGAGACCAGCCAUCCUGCUGAGCCUUUUGGUCAUUAGUAAAAUCUCAUGCCCUCAGGUAAAGAAUGACCUCUAUUCCAGAAUAGAGGUCAUUUGACAGCUUUGCUUUGUGUCUCAGCUCCCUCCCCGCCACACAGUGGCGAUUUUACCAUUAGGCAUAGGUCAGCAUGGGGCCCCCUUGUGUUGGGGGGCCCCCUAGCCCUGACCGCCGGCACCCCUCUGUUAAUGCCACAAUAUUCUUAUUACCAAUCUGUCACCGCAGACGGGAUUGGACAUGCUUCUCAUUACCAUAAUUCCUGAAUUUAAAAUUCCAAAAGUGCUGAAAAGAUUAAAAAUGGGGCUUUCCGUGCAUAUACAAUACAUUACGGUAGCCACCGGGAUUCCCUGUCUUGAGCACAACGAAUCACAACAGACGUGCUGAGUUUGUCAUCCAAAAAGCUCCAUUAUAACUUUUGAAUGGCUGAUCAGAUUCAAAAAAUUCCAACGGUUCCUAAAAAUACAUAAAAGCA
ensembl:lncRNA